CCUACUCUGCCAAGUGUGGUAACAAGUACCAGUUUACAGCGGAGAAAAAGAAAGACAAGAUUCUCGCUUUGUGAAAUAUUCAUUUGUCAGCGGAAAGAGAAUGGACAAUAAACAAAUAAGUCCAUGAAAAUAUCAGAUUUUUUAUUUUUGAUUACAGAGUCUCCUAGACAAUAAUAAACACUGCGAAGAAGGCAGUGAUGGGAUGGGGGCGUGGGGGAGAAGGCGGGAGAGGGACUUUCGAUUCAGGUGAUAAGUUCUCCCCGAGAUGAUGUUUAGCUAAGACGUGGACGUCAAGAAGGAGCCAAAUGCUCGAGAUCCAGGAACAGAGGGUUCCCAGUGGAAGGGACAGCGAAUGCAAAGCUCUGAGGAAAGAGAGCUCUUGGCUAAGGUGUCUGGAGCAGAGCCAGCUAGGGAGGAAGCAGUGUGGAAGAAAUCUGAGAGGUGGCCAGGGGCCGAAUUGCAUAGCCCAAGGGAAGAAUACGGCCAUAACUUACCCUGUUUGUGAAAGGGUAAGAGUGCAGAUAUUCAGCAGGAAGAGGGAGUGCAGCCUAAAGAUCAACCUGAGUGUUUUCAUACACAUCUAUAAUCAUAGAUCUGGACAUCAUCAUAUCCAGCAAAAUUUCAACUUAGAAGAAUAUUUCUAAAAUAUUAGAACAACAAUUAUGGAUGGAAUUGUCUCCCUUCCACAAAGUCAUAUGUUGAAGCCUUAACCUAACCCCCAAUAUGAUUGUAUUUGGGCCUUUAGGGAGGAAAGGUUAAAUUAGGUCAUGGGAUAGAGCCCUAAUCCAAUAGGACUAGUGGCCUUGUAGAAACAGGAAGAGAUUAUAACAGUCAUGAGAGCACCGAAGAAAAACCAGGUGAGGACACUGCAAGAAGGCCGCCACCUACAAGCCAAAGAGAGAAGUUGGGGGAGAACCAACCCUAUCACCACCUCGAUGAGAGGGAAGACAUAGAAAGAGUAAAUCCUUCUUUCCAUUACAGACUCCAGAAAUAACACUCGUGUGAUCCUGAAUGAGUCUCACCUGCUCUCAGUAAAAUAGAACACUUGGGCUAAGAGAACUCUGAUGUUUACUCUUGUUGUUUUUCUGCUGUGUUUUAUAAUGAUAAUGAUAAUGAUAACAUUAACAGUUGUUUGAGCAUUCUAUGACAGUGGCAUUCUUCUAUCAAUGCCUUAGAAAACUGUUGCCACCUACAGCUCUCCUAGGCUCCAAGAGAAGACCAUGGUGUCCCAAGCAUAUUGAAUUGAGUAGAAUGCUAUUAUUGUCUUAUUCUAUCAACCGCAACUCUGCAAUAUCUGUUUAUCUGAUGUUAGAGUCUCUGCAGAAAUAAAGAGACUUUAUUUAUAUAAUUCA
rnacentral:lncRNA from 1 species